rnacentral:rRNA from 1 species
GCAACUCGCCUACACGAAGCUGGAAUCGCUAGUAAUCGCGGAUCAGCACGCCGCGGUGAAUAAACGUUCCCGGGCCUUGUACACACCGCCCGUCACACCAUGAGAGUCUGUAACACCCAAAGCCGGUGGGAUAACCUUUAUAGGAGUCAGCCGUCUAAGGUAGGACAGAUGAUUAGGGUGAAGUCGUAACAAGGUAUC